rnacentral:lncRNA from 1 species
GAGAAUAAGAGUUUGCAACAUUGUGGGAUUCUUAAGAACAAAACAAAGAUUUAGAUAAAACGGUUCUUUAAACUUGUGAUGAUGAUCAAGGUGAAGCCUGUCCCAACAGAGAUUGAAUGUCUUUCUGCACAAAUCCAAAAAGGCCGGUUAUGUGUGAUGAAAAUGUGAGGAUUCUGGUUUAGCCUGGUUUACAUACCUCGAAUUGAAGAGGAGAGGUUCUAGGAGAAUAUCUCUGGGAGACUUUGCCGUCAGGAGAAACCAAGAAAUUUGUGAAGUUCCAUUUGAUUGCGUCAAUAAGCAAACCUCCUUAUAUAUUAAAACAUAAAUCGCAAUUUUGAUUCAUGUCCGAUUUUUUAAAAAAUUGACCUAAUGGACCUAUUCAUAAAAAAAUCAUAUUACAUUUAAUCUCUAAUCUUAUCAUUUAAAUUUUGGGCAUACCAGAAAAUUUUUUGGUAGGCCCAAAAUUUUAUUGGACUAUCAAUAGUUGGAUUUAAAGAAUAGAUGAUCUAUUAGAUUUAUAGAUAGUAUAAAUUAAAUAGAUAUAAUUUAAUGUUGUAAUACUAUACCUCUAUAUGUUAAAUAUUUAAAUAUUUGUCGAUGUUAACUUUUAAAAUUAUAAAUAUUUUUUUUGAAAAUAACAAAAAUCAUAUUAUCUAACAAUGAUUAAUCUUUACUACCUUAAACCAAUGAAAACAAAUUUUAAGCUAUAUAGUUUAUUUUAAAAAUUAAACAAAAACUAAAUGUUUAAUUAUUUACUCGAUAAUAUAAAUCUAUGAAGCGAAAAGUUUAAUUUUUAAAAAAAUUUCUAAAUUUGUGAAAUGUUACAAUAUCUUUGAAUAUGACGAUAAAACAAUAUUUUACUAAUCUUUAUAUAUAUAGUUACGAUUUUAAUAAUGAAAUAAUAAUCCAAAAAAAAAUAUAUAAAAAAAGAUACAAAUGCAUGUGAAAGUUUAAAACAAUAUAUUCAAUGAAAAAAAUAUACCGUAAACUUAUUAUGUUUUAAAAAUUGAUAGACACAUAUAUUAUAAUAUAUACUAAUUUAUAAUUGAAAACAAAAUAUUCAUAUAAAAUUAAAACAAAAAUCCGCGCGGUUGCGCGGGUCGAGAUCUAGUGUUUAUUAAAAAAGCAGAUUCAGAGAAUAAGAGUUUGCAACAUUGUGGGAUUCUUAAGAACAAAACAAAGAUUUAGAUAAAACGAUUUUUUAAACUUGUGAUGAUGAUCAAGAUGAAGCCUGUCCCAACAGAGAUUGAAUGUCUUUCUGCACAAAUCCAAAAAGGCCGGUUAUGUGUGAUGAAAAUGUGAGGAUUCUGGUUUAGCCUGGUUUACAUACCUCGAAUUGAAGAGGAGAGGUUCUAGGAGAAUAUCUCUGGGAGACUUUGCCGUCAGGAGAAACCAAGAACUUUGUGAAGUUCCAUUUGAUUGCGUCAAUAAGCAAACCUCCUUUCUCUGCUUUCAAGUAUUUGUAUAAUGGCGC